rnacentral:lncRNA from 10 species
UCUUUGCAGGUAUAUGUAUACAUCUACUCUCAACUCCACUCUCAUUCCUCCAAUGGUCCAUGGUAGAGGCACAGUCAGAAAACACCCUAGUCUCUCUAUUUGCAUGGGGCUACUCAAGCCAAUGGAAAAUGCCAGCAGAUGUUUUGAAAUAUGCAGAGGCUGCUUCUGAAGCCUGACCGAAGAGAGUCUAUCUAAAAGCCUGAGCCAAGACUUGCCAUAGCCUGAAAGAACUGCACCCUUCACCUCAUCUUUGAACUUUAAUCACAUUAAUUUUAUUACUUCUGCUAACUUCCACUCAUGGGAAAUGGACUUGUAUGUUUUCUAUUAUUUUAAAACCAAGUAAGAGACACAGUGUCUGUAUACACAUGGUGAUAGAAUGUGUAAAAGCCUGACUAGGAUCCACCCUUUUCCUAAUGUUUCCACCUGAAUGUUCAAUAGCAACGUCCUCUGUGAACGUAACUACCCUAACUCACAUCUGGGUUAAUUCUUCUUUUCCAUCUUCCUUCCUAUGGGUAUCAUUGUCUUGAGUUUUCAUGAAACUAGAUUUUCAGACAACAAAUAACUCUAUCUAGAAAAGACAAUUAAAAAAGAUGUCCUUAAAAUGAAUUCCUAAAUCUGAUUAAAUCUAUUACCAACCCAAUUGGUGUCUGCAGCCCAAAUUCAAGGUAAUAGAAUUAAUAAUUGGUCUACCUUUACAUUCAUGACCGCUAGUUUCAAAUUACCCCUCAAGUCUACCCAAAAGUACUCCUCUUCAAAAUCAUUAUUUUACAUUUCUUCAUCUCUCUCCAAAUGCCCAAGACCUCCUUAGCUUGCUCCUUGAAUCACUGGAAGAAAAAUAAAAGCAACCAAAUAAUUGUCAAAUCUCUCAAAUGACUUGGAUCUACAACCAUUCUCUCUGACUUACCUCCAAUUACAACAGUUCUCUAGUCCUUCUUUAAAGAGCAACUCCUUUACUUUUGUCCUGGAUUCCACCCUUAUCUGUCUUUAUAAGAACUAUUUUAUUCAGUUAUCACCUCUAAUUUGUUGCAUUAUUAAUUUAUUUCUCUUUAAUGGUUCAUGCCCUUCAGUAUACAAAAUUGCUCCUGUAACUUCCUAACGAAGAGAGAAUUCCUUAACAUUUUUUGCUCUCAUUCUAUGUCCCAUGUCCCUGCUCUCC